CAGCAGCCGCGGUAAUGCGUAGGUGGCAAGCGUUGUCCGGAAUGAUUGGGCGUAAAGCGAGCGCAGGCGGUUAGAUAAGUCUGAAGUUAAAGGCCGUGGCUUAACCAUAGUACGCUUUGGAAACUGUUUAACUUGAGUGCAAGAGGGGAGAGUGGAAUUCCAUGUGUAGCGGUGAAAUGCGUAGAUAUUGGGAAGAACACCAGUGGCGAAGGCGGCUUUCUGGACUGCAACUGACGCUGAGGCUCGAAAGCCAGGGGAGCGAACGGGAUUAGAUACCCCUGUAGUCCCUGUCUCUUAUACA
rnacentral:rRNA from 1 species